UACGUAGGGUGCAAGCGUUAAUCGGAAUUACUGGGCGUAAAGCGUGCGCAGGCGGUUCGGAAAGAAAGAUGUGAAAUCCCAGAGCUUAACUUUGGAAUGGCAUUUUUAACUACCGGGCUAGAGUAUGUCAGAGGGGGGUAGAAUUCCACGUGUAGCAGUGAAAUGCGUAGAGAUGUGGAGGAAUACCGAUGGCGAAGGCAGCCCCCUGGGAUAAUACUGACGCUCAUGCACGAAAGCGUGGGGAGCAAACAGG
rnacentral:rRNA from 1 species